rnacentral:rRNA from 1 species
UACAGAGGUCUCAAGCGUUGUUCGGAUUCAUUGGGCGUAAAGGGUGCGUAGGCGGCGCGGUAAGUCGGGUGUGAAAUCUCGGAGCUUAACUCCGAAACUGCAUUCGAUACUGCCGUGCUUGAGGACUGGAGAGGAGACUGGAAUUUACGGUGUAGCGGUGAAAUGCGUAGAUAUCGUAAGGAACACCAGUGGCGAAGGCGGGUCUCUGGACAAUUCCUGACGCUGAGGCACGAAAGUCAGGGGAGCAAACAGG